UUAAAGUUUUAUUCUUGCUUAUUGAUUUAUUUUAAUUUUGCUUUACAUGUAAGUUUUCGCGUGGAUUGAUUAUUUUAGUCUUAAGGAUUUAAUAAUAUAUUUUUAUUCGCAGUAUUUAAUUUUAUUAAUCAAGGAAAGUUGGAAUUAGUAAUAAUUUAUAGUACCGGCAAAAAUCGUGCCAGCAGCCGCGGUUACACGGAGGGUACAAGUGAAUAUUUUUAGUUGAUAGUUAUAAGAGUAUAAUAAAAGGGCAGAAAAUUGAUUUUGUUAGGUGAAAUUUUAAUUUUAAAUUAUUCCUUUAUAAUUUAUUAGAAGCUAUGAAAUUUAAAGAUUAAACUAGGAUUAGAUACCCUAUUAUUUUAAAUGUAAAUUGUUAAAGCUUGAGUAGUAUUAGAUAUGUUCUUGAAACUCAAAGAAUUUGGCGGUGUUUUAGUCCUUUUAGAGGAACCUGUCCCGUAAUCGAUAGUCCACGUUUUACCUUACUUAAUUUUGUUAUCAGCUUGUAUACCGCCGUCGUCAGAAUGUCCUUGAAGGGUUAUAAUUUUCUUAAUUUUUAAUUAAAAUUGAUGUCAGGUCAAGGUGCAGUUUAUGAUUAAGUGGAGAUGGGUUACAAUAAAUGUAUUUAUUACGGAAGAUGAAUGGAAAAGUUCAUUUGAAGGUGGAUUUAAUUGUAAUGAUUUAAAUAAAAAAAAUUUGAUUUUGGCUCUAAAACAUGCACACAUCGCCCGUCGCUCUCGUUAUUUAAGGCGAGAUAAGUCGUAACAUAGUAGGUGUACCGGAAGGUGUACCUGGAAAGUUC
rnacentral:ncRNA from 1 species